rnacentral:rRNA from 1 species
GACGAACGCUGGCGGCGUGCUUAACACAUGCAAGUCGAACGAUGAACCCGGAGCUUGCUCCGGCGGAUUAGUGGCGAACGGGUGAGUAACACGUGAGUAACCUGCCCUUGACUCUGGGAUAACUGCUAGAAAUGGUAGCUAAUACCGGAUACGACCCUCGGUGGCAUCACCAGGGGGUGGAAAGAAUUUCGGUCAAGGAUGGACUCUCGGCCUAUCAGCUAGUUGGUGAGGUAACGGCUCACCAAGGCGACGACGGGUAGCCGGCCUGAGAGGGUGACCGGCUACACUGGGACUGAGACACGGCCCAGACUCCUACGGGAGGCAGCAGUGGGGAAUAUUGCACAAUGGGCGCAAGCCUGAUGCAGCAACGCCGCGUGAGGGAUGACGGCCUUCGGGUUGUAAACCUCUUUUAGUAGGGAAGAAGCGAAAGUGACGGUACCUGCAGAAAAAGCACCGGCUAACUACGUGCCAGCCGCCGCAGUAA